UACAGAGGGUGCAAGCGUUGUUCGGAAUUAUUGGGCGUAAAGCGCGUGUAGGCGGCUUUGCAAGUCGGGUGUGAAAGCCCUCGGCUCAACCGAGGAAGUGCGCCCGAAACUGCAGAGCUUGAGUGCCGGAGAGGAUGGCGGAAUUCCCCAAGUAGAGGUGAAAUUCGUAGAUAUGGGGAGGAACACCGGUGGCGAAGGCGGCCAUCUGGACGGUCACUGACGCUGAGACGCGAAAGCGUGGGGAGCGAACAGG
rnacentral:rRNA from 1 species